GGGGGUGUAGCUCAGUUGGUUAGAGCGUCGGCCUGUCACGCCGAAGGUCGCGGGUUCGAGCCCCGUCACUCCCGCCA
rnacentral:tRNA from 12 species